UGCAGUCGAGGGGUAACAUAGUUGCUUGCAACUGAUGACGACCGGCGCACGGGUGCGUAACGCGUAUAGUACCUACCUUAUAGUAAGGGAUAGCCCAGAGAAAUUUGGAUUAAUACCUUAUAGUAUCUUAAGUGAGCCUUCACUAAGGAUUAAAGAUUUAUCGCUAUAAGAUGGCUAUGCGUUCUAUUAGCUAGUUGGUAUGGUAACGGCAUACCAAGGCUACGAUAGAUAGGGGUCCUGAGAGGGAGAUCCCCCACACUGGUACUGAGACACGGACCAGACUCCUACGGGAGGCAGCAGUGAGGAAUAUUGGACAAUGGAGGCAACUCUGAUCCAGCCAUGCCGCGUGUAGGAAGACUGCCCUAUGGGUUGUAAACUACUUUUAUAGAGGAAGAAACCAUUUCACGUGUGAAAUGCUGACGGUACUCUACGAAUAAGGAUCGGCUAACUCCGUGCCAGCAGCCGCGGUAAUACGGAGGAUCCAAGCGUUAUCCGGAAUCAUUGGGUUUAAAGGGUCCGUAGGCGGUUUAGUAAGUCAGUGGUGAAAGUUUUCGGCUCAACCGGAAAAUUGCCAUUGAUACUGCAAGACUUGAAUUAUUGUGAAGUGGUUAGAAUGUGUAGUGUAGCGGUGAAAUGCAUAGAUAUUACACAGAAUACCGAUUGCGAAGGCAGAUCACUAAACAAUUAAUUGACGCUAAGGGACGAAAGCGUGGGUAGCGAACAGGAUUA
rnacentral:rRNA from 1 species